rnacentral:rRNA from 1 species
AUUGAACGCUGGCGGCAGGCCUAACACAUGCAAGUCGAACGAGUGGCGGACUGGUGAGUAAUGUCUGGGCAACUGCCCGAUGGAGCGGGAUAACUACUGGAAACGGUAGAUAAUACCGCAUACCAUCGGAUGUGCCACGAUGGGAUUAGCUAGUAGGUGGGGUAAAGGCACACCAAGGCGACGAUCCCUAGCUGGUCUGAGAGGCUGACCAGCCACACUGUAACUGAGACACGGGCCAGACUCCUACGGGAGGCAGCAGUGGGGAAUAUUGCACAAUGGGCGCAAGCCUGAUGCAGCCAUGCCGCGUGUAUGAAGAAGGCCUUCGGGUUGUAAAGUACUUUCAGCGAGGAGGCGUUACUCGCAGAAGAAGCACCGGCUAACUCCGUGCCAGCAGCCGCGGUAAUUC